AGCAAACAGCAACAGCAGCAGAUACUUUUACAAUUAAAUAUUAUACAAACGUUAUGUUCACAAGUCACAUUAGCGAGAGUGCUAAAUAUUCAUGCUGUAAGUAGGUAACUACCUAACUCACUAGCUCAAUGACUAGGUAACUCACUAGCUCACUGAGUAGGUAACUCACUAGUUCACUGACUAGGUAACUCACUAGUUCACUGACUAGCUAACUCACUAGUUCUCUGACUAGGUAACUCACUAGUUCACUGAAUAGCUAACCCACUAGUUCACUGACUAGCUAACUCACUAGUUCUCUGACUAUGUAACUCACUAGUUCACUGACUAGGUAGCAUUCUAAUUCAUUAGCUCAUUGAGUAGGUAAGUAGCUAACUCAGUAGCACACUUACUAUGUAACUCACUGGUUCACUGACUAGGUAACUCACUUGCUCACUGAGUAAGUAACCUGCUAACUCAUUAGCUCACUGAGUAGGUAACUCACUAGUUCACUGACUAAGUAAUUCACUAGCUCACUGAGUAGGUAACUAACUCACUAGUUCACUGACUAGGUAACUCACUAGUUCACUGACUAAGUAAUUCACUAGCUCACUGAGUAGGUAACUAACUCACUAGUUCACUGGCUAGAUAACUCACUAGUUUGCUGGCUAGGUUGCUCACUAGCUCACUGAGUAGGUAACUAGCUAACUCACUAGCUCAUUGACUAAGAUAACUGACUAGUUCACUGAUUAGGUAACUAGCUAACUCACUAGCUCAUUGACUAAGAUAACUGACUAGUUCACUGAUUAGGUAACUAGCUAACUCACUAGCUCAUUGACUAAGAUAACUGACUAGUUCACUGAUUAGGUAAUUAGCUAACUCACUAGCUCAUUGACUAGGUAACUAUCAUAAUUUGCGCGUGAAUAUUUAGCACAUCUUGCUAAUGUGAGCUUUUAAAUGGAGUGAAACAGAGAAUAAUAUAACAUAAUAUAACAUUAAACAUAACGUUUGUAUAAUAUUUAAUUGUAAAAGUAUCUGCUGCUGUUGCUGUUUGCUGGAAGCUGCUGUUCACUCCGUGUUUGGAAGGA